CAAUAGGUUGAUGGCGACCGGCGCACGGGUGAGUAACACGUAUCCAACCUACCGGUUAUUCCGGGAUAGCCUUUCGAAGAAAGAUUAAUACCGGAUAGUAUAACGAGAAGGCAUCUUCUUGUUAUUAAAGAAUUUCGAUAACCGAUGGGGAUGCGUUCCAUUAGUUUGUUGGCGGGGUAACGGCCCACCAAGACAUCGAUGGAUAGGGGUUCUGAGAGGAAGGUCCCCCACAUUGGAACUGAGACACGGUCCAA
rnacentral:rRNA from 1 species